GACGAACGCUGGCGGCAUGCCUAAUACAUGCAAGUUGAACGAUGAUAUUCUCUGCUUGCAGAGACUUGAAGAGUAGCGAACGGGUGAGUAACACGUGGGGAACCUGCCCAUGAGAGGGGGAUAACAUUCGGAAACGGAUGCUAAUACCGCAUAAUGCUUUGGACCGCCUGGUCCAGAGACGAAAGACGGCUUUUGCUGUCACUCAUGGAUGGCCCCGCGCCGUAUUAGCUAGUUGGUGAGGUAAUGGCUCACCAAAGCUGUGAUACGUAGCCGACCUGAGAGGGUGAUAGGCCACACUGGGACUGAGACACGGCCCAGACUCCUACGGGAGGCAGCAGUAGGGAAUCUUCCACAAUGGGCGAAAGCCUGAUGGAGCAAUGCCGCGUGAAUGAAGAAGGUCUUCGGAUCGUAAAGUUCUGUUAUUAGAGAAGAACAAGUCAAGGAGUAACUGUCUUGACUUUGACGGUACCUAACCAGAAAGUCACGGCUAACUACGUG
rnacentral:rRNA from 1 species